GAUGAAGAACGUAGCGAAAUGCGAUAAGUAAUGUGAAUUGCAGAAUUCAGUGAAUCAUCGAAUCUUUGAACGCACAUUGCGCCCCUUGGUAUUCCGAGGGGCAUGCCUGUUCGAGCGUCAUUAUAACCCCUCAAGCUCAGCUUGGUAUUGGGGCCUGCCAUCCUGGCAGCCCUUAAAAUCAGUGGCGGUGCCAUCCGGCUCUAAGCGUAGUAACUCCUCUCGCUAUGGAGUCCUGGUGGAUGCUUGCUAUUAAUCUUUUAACUUCUAUGGUUGACCUCGGAUCAGGUAGGGAUACCCGCUGAACUUAAGCAUAUCAAUAAGCGGAGGA
rnacentral:misc_RNA from 1 species